rnacentral:rRNA from 1 species
GACAGAGGGUGCAAACGUUGUUCGGAAUUACUGGGCGUAAAGCGCGUGUAGGCUGCUUGGAAAGUCGGAUGUGAAAGCCCUGGGCUCAACCUAGGAAGUGCAUUCGAAACUUCUGAGCUGGAGUUCUGGAGAGGAAGGCGGAAUUCUCGGUGUAGAGGUGAAAUUCGUAGAUAUCGAGAGGAACACCGGUGGCGAAGGCGGCCUUCUGGACAGUGACUGACGCUGAGACGCGAAAGCGUGGGGAGCGAACAGG